CAACUCAUCACAUGCGCAGGCUUCAUGCGAUGCUGCGACAGAUGACUACAUUCAGGAUCCAGACACGAUUAUGCCUUCUACUGGACCUGACAGCACCACCGAUACAUGUCAUCCUGUGCCGCAUCCGGCCAUAA